AGGAAGACUAGAACAUCAUGAAACAAAUAUCAAGCACAGCCACAGGAAGUGAAUCGCAGAUCCUACAACACAACAACUAAAGCUGCAAAGCACUAAGUUGGAAUCAUGACGUCUCUAAAACCCGAAUCAACAUUUGUGGAAAUCUGAGAGUCCAGUUGCACCUCAACACCACAGGUGAAAUCUCUGGAUAAGGGUGUCACUGGCUACGCAGCAUUUAUUUGCCAAGAGGGGAUCAGAUGGGCCAAUGGGCUGAGAAGUGGCAGAUGGAGUUUAAUUCAGAUAAAUGCGUGGUGCUGUAUUUUGGGAAAACAAAUCUUAGCAGGACUUAUAC